AGUGAACGCUGGCGGUAGGCCUAACACAUGCAAGUCGAACGGCAGCACAGUAAGAGCUUGCUCUUACGGGUGGCGAGUGGCGGACGGGUGAGGAAUACAUCGGAAUCUACUUUUUCGUGGGGGAUAACGUAGGGAAACUUACGCUAAUACCGCAUACGACCUACGGGUGAAAGCAGGGGAUCUUCGGACCUUGCGCGAUUGAAUGAGCCGAUGUCGGAUUAGCUAGUUGGCGGGGUAAAGGCCCACCAAGGCGACGAUCCGUAGCUGGUCUGAGAGGAUGAUCAGCUAGACUGGAUGUGAGACACGGUCCAGACACCUGCGGUAGGCAGCAGUGGGGAAUAUUGGACGAUGGGCGCAAGCCUGAUCCAACCAUACCGCGUGAGUGAAGAAGGCCUUCUGGUUGUAGAGCCCUUUUGUUGUGAAAGAAGAACAGCAGGUUAAUACCCCGCUGUUCUGACGGUACCCAAAGAAUAAGCACCGGCUAACUUCGUG
rnacentral:rRNA from 1 species